rnacentral:rRNA from 1 species
CCUACGGGUGGCAGCAGUGAGGAAUAUUGGUCAAUGGACGAGAGUCUGAACCAGCCAAGUAGCGUGAAGGAUGACUGCCCUAUGGGUUGUAAACUUCUGUUAUAAAGGAAUAAAACGAGGCACGUGUGCCUUUUUGCAUGUACUUUAUGAAUAAGGAUCGGCUAACUCCGUGCCAGCAGCCGCGGUAAUACGGAGGAUCCGAGCGUUAUCCGGAUUUAUUGGGUUUAAAGGGAGCGUAGAUGGGUUGUUAAGUCAGUUGUGAAAGUUUGCGGCUCAACCGUAAAAUUGCAAUUGAUACUGGCAGUCUUGAGUACAGUUGAGGUAGGCGGAAUUCGUGGUGUAGCGGUGAAAUGCUUAGAUAUCACGAAGAACCCUGAUUGCGAAGGCAGCUUACUAAACUGUGACUGACAUUGAUGCUCGAAAGUGUGGGUAGCAAACAGGAUUAGAUACCCUUGUAGUC